AUGUAUUGCUCUGGCUACACAUAUACUAAGAUUGGAACAAUACAGAGAAGAUUAGCAUGACCCUGCACAAGGAUGACAUGCAAAUUUGUGAAGAGUUCCAUAUUUCU